rnacentral:rRNA from 1 species
UCUUCAAGCAGGAGUGGCGAACGGGUGAGUAAUACAUAAGCAAUCUGCCCAUCGGCCUGGGAUAACAGUUGGAAACGACUGCUAAUACCGGAUAGGUGAUGAAGAGGCAUCUCUCGAUCAUUAAAGUUGGGAUACAACACGGAUGGAUGAGCUUAUGGCGUAUUAGCUAGUAGGUGAGGUAACGGCUCACCUAGGCGAUGAUACGUAGCCGACCUGAGAGGGUGACCGGCCACAUUGGGACUGAGACACGGCCCAAACUCC